rnacentral:lncRNA from 10 species
GUGAUUUAUUAAAUAUAAUGAAUAUGAGAAAACUCUUAGUUCUCAUCAGAUACUAAGUUUUAAGAAUAAACUUUAGCUAUGUAAUAACUUAUGGGAAAAGCUUUUAUACUUGUCACUCACUUUUUAAAAUAUCCCGAGACAGUUCACUGUUGCAGACAUUGAAAUUGGCCAUUUGUAAGAUAAAAGAAUACAAAUGGAGAGAUUUGCAUGGGAUGCAGAAAUAUGGAAGACUAACCAAGCAGACCAGGAGAGACCAGCAAUAGUGUCCCAGAGACCAUGAUGUCUGAGCCCAGUUUUGGAAGAAUAGCUGGGCAUGGUGGCUCACACCUGUAAUCCCAGCACUUUGGGAGGCCAAGACAAGAGGAUUGCUUGAGCCCAGGAAGGAGUUGGAGACCAGCCUGAGCAACAACAACAACAAAAUUAGCCAGGCAUAGUGGUGCACAUCUGUAGUCCCAGCUACUUGGGAGGCUGAGGUAAGAGAAUUGCUUGAGCUCAGGAGGUUGAGGCUGCAGUGAGCUGUGAUCCCACCACUGCACUCCAGCUUGGGGAAAGAGCAAGACUCUGCCUCCCCCACAUGCGCCCCCCCACCCCUGCCCCUGCCAGAAAAAUUGUUUGUGGAUCCCUGUUAUCAGAAUAAGGACAUUCCCUCAUAUUCCUAGUGUGAUGUGAGUUUUUAUCAUAAAAGGGAGUAGUAUUUUGUCAUGUCCAUUUUCUGCAUUGGUUGAAAUGAUCAUUUUGUUUUUCUCUUCAUUCUUUUAAUAGAUAAUUGUUUGAAUUUUGGUGUUAACCAAUGUUUCAUUCCUGAAAUAAAUUCUACUUGGUCAUGAUAUAUCAUCAUGUAUGUGUAUAUGUAUAUAAGAUCAGGUUUCUUCCUUAGUAAACAGAAGCCUGAUGAAGUGCCCAACGUUGUGUUCUAAGAACUUAGAGCAAAAGGAAAUUAUCCAAGUCUCAAGGAAAGAUGUAAUAAUACAUGGAAAUGAGGUACUCUUGGAAGGCAAGGCCUGGGAGCAAAAGGCUCAGAGGAAGAAUAAAUCUAGCAUUUGUAGGGACCUGUAGGGAGACUGGCUUUGCUGGUGUAGAGGGCUCCUGGUAGGAU